rnacentral:lncRNA from 1 species
CUUUUCCAGGAAGACCUUUUUACCUUUCUAAUGUCUUCAUUAUAACAGAUGAGAGCACUUUUGUGUGUGUCCCAUUCACUUGUUCUUUUAACUUUAUUGAAAAGUCUAACAUUACGUCUAUUGAUGAAUUCACACUACGAGCGACUUGAACGAUUACACCAAUUGACAAAUUCGCACGACUUUGAGCCAGACGAUUCACAUUACACUGCCGACUGUCUAAUGACAUUUUGUAUUAGCCAAUCGGAACUGUAGCUGUAUAUUGAUAAUUAAACCAAUCAUUGUCUGAUAAAUUUUACUUACAAUCAGAAAAGAUGGUGUUUGUCAAAGUG